rnacentral:rRNA from 1 species
AUACGGAGGGUGCAAGCGUUAUUCGGAAUCACUGGGCGUAAAGGACGCGUAGGCGGGUUGGUAAGUCAGGUGUGAAAUCCUACAGCUUAACUGUAGAACUGCACUUGAAACUGCUAACCUAGAGUAUGGGAGGGGGAGAUGGAAUUAGUGGUGUAGGGGUAAAACCCGUAGAUAUCACUAGGAAUACCGAAAGCGAAGGCGAUCUCCUGGAACAUAACUGACGCUAAGGCGUGAAAGCGUGGGGAGCAAACAGGAUUAGAUACCCUAGUAGUCC